GCCUGUGUGGCAUAUUGGUUAGCGUUUUGGACUAGCACCUGAGGGACCAGGGUUCAAAUCCCCACUCGGCCA